GAGGUUAUAGCUCAGUGGUAGAGUGUGUGCUUAGCAUGCAUGAGGUCCUGGGUUCAAUCUCCAGUACCUCCA
rnacentral:tRNA from 1 species